AGUGAACGCUGGCGGUAGGCCUAACACAUGCAAGUCGAACGGCAGCACAGUAAGAGCUUGCUCUUACGGGUGGCGAGUGGCGGACGGGUGAGGAAUACAUCGGAAUCUACUUUUUCGUGGGGGAUAACGUAGGGAAACUUACGCUAAUACCGCAUACGACCUACGGGUGAAAGCAGGGGAUCUUCGGACCUUGCGCGAUUGAAUGAGCCGAUGUCGGAUUAGCUAGUUGGCGGGGUAAAGGCCCACCAAGGCGACGAUCCGUAGCUGGUCUGAGAGGAUGAUCACCCACCCUGGAAGUGAGACACGGUCCAGACUCCUACGGGAGGCAGCAGUGGGGAAUAUUGGACAAUGGGCGCAAGCCUGAUCCAGCCAUACCGCGUGUGUGAAGACGGCCUUCGGGUUGUAAAGCCCUUUUGUUGGGAAAGAAAAGCAGCAGGUUAAUACCCCGCUGUUCUGACGGUACCCAAAGAAUAAGCACCGGCUAACUUCGUG
rnacentral:rRNA from 1 species